AUACAAUCUAGGUUUUCAAACCACCAAUGAAGAGACAGUCACCUUUGAAGGCACAGACAAGGAGACCGAUGAAGUGAUAGAGGCAGGAAAAGUAGACAUAAUUCAUGUAUCUCCCGAGUCAUUAGUUGGAGGCGGCCAAUGGAGAUCAACAAUACAAAGACUUAAUGAAACCGUUAUCGUAGUAGAUGAAUUCCACACAGUUAUCACAUGUGAUGGUCUAGAAGCAGAUAAGGAGGAUAAAGUGUUCCGAAAGUGGUUCCGGCGUGUUGGAGAGAUCCGAUCGUACUUUCCUGAGGCAUCAUUAUUAGCACUAAGCGUGACUUG